GACGAACGCUGGCGGCGUGCCUAAUACAUGCAAGUAGAACGCACAGUUUAUACCGUAGCUUGCUACACCAUAAACUGUGAGUUGCGAACGGGUGAGUAACGCGUAGGUAACCUGCCUGGUAGCGGGGGAUAACUAUUGGAAACGAUAGCUAAUACCGCAUAAUAUUGAUUAUUGCAUGAUAAUUGAUUGAAAGAUGCUAUUGCAUCACUACCAGAUGGACCUGCGUUGUAUUAGCUAGUAGGUGAGGUAACGGCUCACCUAGGCGACGAUACAUAGCCGACCUGAGAGGGUGAUCGGCCACACUGGGACUGAGACACGGCCCAGACUCCUACGGGAGGCAGCAGUAGGGAAUCUUCGGCAAUGGACGAAAGUCUGACCGAGCAACGCCGCGUGAGUGAAGAAGGUUUUCGGAUCGUAAAGCUCUGUUGUAAGAGAAGAACGGGUGUGAGAGNGGAAAGUUCACAC
rnacentral:rRNA from 1 species